rnacentral:rRNA from 1 species
AUUGAACGCUGGCGGCAUGCCUUACACAUGCAAGUCGAACGGUAACAGGUCUUCGGAUGCUGACGAGUGGCGAACGGGUGAGUAAUAUAUCGGAACGUGCCCAGUAGUGGGGGAUAACUGCUCGAAAGAGCAGCUAAUACCGCAUACGACCUGAGGGCGAAAGGGGGGGAUCGCAAGACCUCUCGCUAUUGGAGCGGCCGAUAUCAGAUUAGCUAGUUGGUGGGGUAAAGGCCUACCAAGGCAACGAUCUGUAGUUGGUCUGAGAGGACGACCAGCCACACUGGGACUGAGACACGGCCCAGACUCCUACGGGAGGCAGCAGUGGGGAAUUUUGGACAAUGGGCGCAAGCCUGAUCCAGCGAUGCCGCGUGCAGGAAGAAGGCCUUCGGGUUGUAAACUGCUUUUGUCAGGGAAGAAAUCUUCUGGGCUAAUACCCCGGGAGGAUGACGGUACCUGAAGAAUAAGCACCGGCUAACUACGUGCCAGCCGCCGCCGUAA